UGUGUAGGUGGUGUCGUAAGUUUGGUGUGAAAUCUCCCGGCUUAACUGGGAGGGUGCGCCGAAGACUGCGAUGCUGGAGUAUGGGAGAGGAAAGCGGAAUUCCUGGUGUAGCGGUGAAAUGCGUAGAUAUCAGGAGGAACACCUGCGGUGUAGACGGCUUUCUGGACCAUUACUGACACUGAGACACGAAAGCGUGGUAGCAAACA
rnacentral:rRNA from 1 species